UACGGGGGGAGCAAGCGUUGUUCGGAUUUACUGGGCGUAAAGCGCGUGUAGGCGGUCCGGUAAGUCCGCUGUGAAAGUCGGGGGGCUCAACCCUCGGAUGCCGGUGGAUACUGUCGGGCUUGAGUACGGAAGAGGCGAGUGGAAUUCCUGGUGUAGCGGUGAAGUGCGUAGAGAUGUGGAGGAACACCAGUGGCGAAGGCGACUCUUUGGUCUGUAACUGACGCUGAGGCGCGAAAGCGUGGGGAGCAAACAGGA
rnacentral:rRNA from 1 species